rnacentral:rRNA from 1 species
GACGAACGCUGGCGGCGUGCCUAAUACAUGCAAGUAGAACGCUGAAGAGAGGAGCUUGCUCUUCUUGGAUGAGUUGCGAACGGGUGAGUAACGCGUAGGUAACCUGCCUUGUAGCGGGGGAUAACUAUUGGAAACGAUAGCUAAUACCGCAUAACAAUGGAUGACACAUGUCAUUUAUUUGAAAGGGGCAAUUGCUCCACUACAAGAUGGACCUGCGUUGUAUUAGCUAGUAGGUGAGGUAAUGGCUCACCUAGGCGACGAUACAUAGCCGACCUGAGAGGGUGAUCGGCCACACUGGGACUGAGACACGGCCCAGACUCCUACGGGAGGCAGCAGUAGGGAAUCUUCGGCAAUGGGGGCAACCCUGACCGAGCAACGCCGCGUGAGUGAAGAAGGUUUUCGGAUCGUAAAGCUCUGUUGUAAGUCAAGAACGGGUGUGAGAGUGGAAAGUUCACACUGUGACGGUAGCUUACCAGAAAGGGACGGCUAACUACGUGCCAGCAGCCGCGGUAAUGCGUAGGUCCCGAGCGUUGUCCGGAUUUAUUGGGCGUAAAGCGAGCGCAGGCGGUUUGAUAAGUCUGAAGUUAAAGGCUGUGGCUCAACCAUAGUUCGCUUUGGAAACUGUCAAACUUGAGUGCAGAAGGGGAGAGUGGAAUUCCAUGUGUAGCGGUGAAAUGCGUAGAUAUAUGGAGGAACACCGGUGGCGAAAGCGGCUCUCUGGUCUGUAACUGACGCUGAGGCUCGAAAGCGUGGGGAGCGAACAGGAUUAGAUACCCUGGUAGUCCACGCCGUAAACGAUGAGUGCUAGGUGUUGGAUCCUUUCCGGGAUUCAGUGCCGCAGCUAACGCAUUAAGCACUCCGCCUGGGGAGUACGACCGCAAGGUUGAAACUCAAAGGAAUUGACGGGGGCCCGCACAAGCGGUGGAGCAUGUGGUUUAAUUCGAAGCAACGCGAAGAACCUUACCAGGUCUUGACAUCCCGAUGCUAUUUCUAGAGAUAGAAAGUUACUUCGGUACAUCGGUGACAGGUGGUGCAUGGUUGUCGUCAGCUCGUGUCGUGAGAUGUUGGGUUAAGUCCCGCAACGAGCGCAACCCCUAUUGUUAGUUGCCAUCAUUCAGUUGGGCACUCUAGCGAGACUGCCGGUAAUAAACCGGAGGAAGGUGGGGAUGACGUCAAAUCAUCAUGCCCCUUAUGACCUGGGCUACACACGUGCUACAAUGGUUGGUACAACGAGUUGCGAGUCGGUGACGGCGAGCUAAUCUCUUAAAGCCAAUCUCAGUUCGGAUUGUAGGCUGCAACUCGCCUACAUGAAGUCGGAAUCGCUAGUAAUCGCGGAUCAGCACGCCGCGGUGAAUACGUUCCCGGGCCU